rnacentral:misc_RNA from 1 species
GCAAACUUGGUCAUUUAGAGGAAGUAAAAGUCGUAACAAGGUUUCCGUAGGUACGUAUUACAUCAAUCCCCUUCCCCUUUAAUUACAACAUGUGCUAACGUUAAAUUUUUAGGUGAACCUGCGGAAGGAUCAUUACCGAGUUAGGGUCUUCUCAGGCCCGACCUCCCAACCCUGUGUUUAUUAAGCCGAUGUUGCUUCGGCGGACCCGUCUCACGACCGCCGGAGGACCGUGAGAGGUCCUCUGGCCCGCGCCCGCCGGUGGCCAUAACUUGACAAACUCUGGUUAAAGCGUGUCACUGUCUGAGUACUAUUUUUAAUUAACGCAAAACUUUCAACAACGGAUCUCUUGGUUCUGGCAUCGAUGAAGAACGCAGC